rnacentral:lncRNA from 1 species
UUUCUUGUAAUGUUGUUUGGAUAUGAUCAAAUUAUAGGGUUUAAAUGCUAAAGUUGUUUUUGUGUUUUACUAUUUGGUUUUGCCAAUUUGGUCCCGUGUUUGGGUGUCGUUAUCUAAUUAAAACGAUAGCUUUGUGAAGUCAAGAUUAGAGAAAGAUAUUAUAUAAAAAGCGACGUUGUACUGAUAACGUGUUAUGCAAAUAAGAAAAUAAAGAAAUAGUAGAGAAAGUAGUUGUAUUCCUUGCUUCUUCUCAUUAGCACCUCUAUUUGUAGGGUUUACUUUACGAUUACAU